rnacentral:misc_RNA from 1 species
AGUAUACAUGUAGAUGAAGAAGGAGGGUUGGAGCAGAGAAGCAAGCAGCAAACAUCGAUAAUAGCAGAAGGAAUGUCAAGAUUGGAACAAUCCAUGCAUCCUACCUUCAUGGAUGAUGAAUUAUAUAAUGCAGUAAAGGAAGGCAUGUUGACAACUUCCUUGAAGCCUCGAUAACGGUUUCAAAAAAUCCAUCUCUGCAUUCCAUCUUUGAUAAAGCAGGCCCCUCGCAGAAUUCA